CCUGGCUCAUGCAGAAUUCAAUACCUCAUUGAGCUAACCCAACUACGUAGAGGCUAUGAGUACUAUCAGAAGGAGGCAACAAGUCUGAAGCGUUAGACCUGUGAAUUACUUAUUGAUGCGGAGAAUGGGGAGAUGUUGGCAGGCUGAAGAAGCUAUUAAUUUGCUGGAUGUACUGUCGUCAGCUUCAAGAUUUGCAGAUCGUCGACCGUCGCUUUGUUCCAUAAUUCCCUUGUAACACAAGUGGUGUAAUUUUGUAGUGUGAUAAAUGUCGCUUACGAAUCCGACAACCGCCGUUUGUUACUACUCUGCUUAGAGAGUCACUGUUGGAGAUAACAAAAAAAUUACUUAUCCCCAGUUCAACCACUGUUCGGACCUCACUGAGACUUGAAGACAUCAGUCAGACUUUGCAGCUGUACAUCACCCCAUUCCUGCAGAUCCUUGUUGACUAAUUGGCGUGCCCCCAGUACAGCCCCAAUUUGACAAGUGAGGUACAUACGAGGGUGCCCAGGAAGGCAUAACAAGCCCCCUUUUGAAAUGAAGGUUUUCCCCUUCAGUCCUUCUGACUAAUCAAUCAGUUCUCAUUGGAAUCGCAUUCAGUAGCUCAAAAGCAAAGCUUGGUUAGUUAUGAGCAUUACUACGUGCCUCAGGCAUACUGUUUCUGAAGGAUAUACUUUUAUUUAACUGCGUACUUCA